rnacentral:rRNA from 1 species
AAAUUGAAGAGUUUGAUCAUGGCUCAGAUUGAACGCUGGCGGCAGGCCUAACACAUGCAAGUCGAACGGUAGCACAGAGAGCUUGCUCUCGGGUGACGAGUGGCGGACGGGUGAGUAAUGUCUGGGAAACUGCCUGAUGGAGGGGGAUAACUACUGGAAACGGUGGCUAAUACCGCAUAACGUCGCAAGACCAAAGAGGGGGACCUUCGGGCCUCUUGCCAUCAGAUGUGCCCAGAUGGGAUUAGCUGGUUGGUGAGGUAACGGCUCACCAAGGCGACGAUCCCUAGCUGGUCUGAGAGGAUGACCAGCCACACUGGAACUGAGACACGGUCCAGACUCCUACGGGAGGCAGCAGUGGGGAAUAUUGCACAAUGGGCGCAAGCCUGAUGCAGCCAUGCCGCGUGUAUGAAGAAGGCCUUCGGGUUGUAAAGUACUUUCAGCGGGGAGGAAGGUGUUGUGGUUAAUAACCGCAGCAAUUGACGUUACCCGCAGAAGAAGCACCGGCUAACUCCGUGCCAGCAGCCGCGGUAAUACGGAGGGUGCAAGCGUUAAUCGGAAUUACUGGGCGUAAAGCGCACGCAGGCGGUCUGUCAAGUCGGAUGUGAAAUCCCCGGGCUCAACCUGGGAACUGCAUUCGAAACUGGCAGGCUUGAGUCUUGUAGAGGGGGGUAGAAUUCCAGGUGUAGCGGUGAAAUGCGUAGAGAUCUGGAGGAAUACCGGUGGCGAAGGCGGCCCCCUGGACAAAGACUGACGCUCAGGUGCGAAAGCGUGGGGAGCAAACAGGAUUAGAUACCCUGGUAGUCCACGCCGUAAACGAUGUCUACUUGGAGGUUGUGCCCUUGAGGCGUGGCUUCCGGAGCUAACGCGUUAAGUAGACCGCCUGGGGAGUACGGCCGCAAGGUUAAAACUCAAAUGAAUUGACGGGGGCCCGCACAAGCGGUGGAGCAUGUGGUUUAAUUCGAUGCAACGCGAAGAACCUUACCUGGUCUUGACAUCCACAGAACUUUCCAGAGAUGGACUGGUGCCUUCGGGAACUGUGAGACAGGUGCUGCAUGGCUGUCGUCAGCUCGUGUUGUGAAAUGUUGGGUUAAGUCCCGCAACGAGCGCAACCCUUAUCCUUUGUUGCCAGCGGUCCGGCCGGGAACUCAAAGGAGACUGCCAGUGAUAAACUGGAGGAAGGUGGGGAUGACGUCAAGUCAUCAUGGCCCUUACGACCAGGGCUACACACGUGCUACAAUGGCGCAUACAAAGAGAAGCGACCUCGCGAGAGCAAGCGGACCUCAUAAAGUGCGUCGUAGUCCGGAUUGGAGUCUGCAACUCGACUCCAUGAAGUCGGAAUCGCUAGUAAUCGUGGAUCAGAAUGCCACGGUGAAUACGUUCCCGGGCCUUGUACACACCGCCCGUCACACCAUGGGAGUGGGUUGCAAAAGAAGUAGGUAGCUUAACCUUCGGGAGGGCGCUUACCACUUUGUGAUUCAUGACUGGGGUGAAGUCGUAACAAGGUAACCGUAGGGGAACCUGCGGUUGGAUCACCUCCUUA